rnacentral:rRNA from 1 species
UACGAAGGGGGCUAGCGUUGCUCGGAAUCACUGGGCGUAAAGCGCCCGUAGGCGGACUCUUAAGUCGGUGGUGAAAUCCUGGAGCUCAACUCCAGAACUGCCUUCGAUACUGGGAGUCUCGAGUUCGGGAGAGGUGAGUGGAACUGCGAGUGUAGAGGUGAAAUUCGUAGAUAUUCGGAGGAACACCAGUGGCGAAGGCGGCUCACUGGCUCGGUACUGACGCUGAGGUGCGAAAGCGUGGGGAGCAAACAGG